rnacentral:rRNA from 1 species
UAUUGCACAAUGGGGGAAACCCUGAUGCAGCGACGCCGCGUGAGUGAAGAAGUAUUUCGGUAUGUAAAGCUCUAUCAGCAGGGAAGAAAAUGACGGUACCUGACUAAGAAGCCCCGGCUAACUACGUGUCAGCAGCCGCGGUAAUACGUAGGGGGCAAGCGUUACCCGGAUUUACUGGGUGUAAAGGGAGCGUAGACGGCUAAGCAAGUCAGAAGCGAAAGGCUGGGGCUCAACCCCGGGACUGCUUUUGAAACUGUUUGGCUAGAGUGCUGGAGAGGUAAGCGGAAUUCCUAGUGUAGCGGUGAAAUGCGUAGAUAUUAGGAGGAACACCAGUGGCGAAGGCGGCUUACUGGACAGUAACUGACGUUGAGGCUUGAAAGCGUGGGGAGCAAACAGG